AUUCAUAAGGUGUCGGAGUCAUGGGUUUUUUUCGUAAAUCAGGGGUGUGAAUA
rnacentral:tRNA from 1 species